rnacentral:rRNA from 1 species
UACGAAGGGGGGCUAGCGUUGUUCGGAAUUACUGGGCGUAAAGCGUGCGCAGGCGGUCUUCCAAGUCAGUGGUGAAAGCCCGGAGCUCAACUCCGGAACUGCCAUUGAAACUGUAAGACUUGAGGACGAGAGAGGUGAGUGGAAUUCCCAGUGUAGAGGUGAAAUUCGUAGAUAUUGGGAAGAACACCGGUGGCGAAGGCGGCUCACUGGCUCGUAUCUGACGCUCAGGCGCGACAGCGUGGGGAUCAAACAGG